AAUAAGUCCCUUUCUGAUGUUAUUUAGAUGUUCCAAUAAUCUAACUUUAGAUUAUUGGAACAUCUAAAUAACAUCAGAAAGGGACUUAU